rnacentral:rRNA from 1 species
CCCUUAGAUGUCCUGGGCCGCACGCGCGCUACACUGAUGCAUUCAACGAGUUUUACCUUGGCCGAGAGGCCUGGGCAAUCUUUUAAACCUGCAUCGCGAUAGGGAUAGAUUAUUGCAAUUAUUAAUCUUGAACGAGGAAUUCCUAGUAAACGCAGAUCAUCAAUCUGCAUUGAUUACGUCCCUGCCCUUUGUACACACCGCCCGUCGCACCUACCGAUUGAAUGGUCCGGUGAAGCCUCGGGAUUGUGGCCAGUUCACUUUAUUGGGAGUUGGCUGCGAGAACUUGUCUAAACCUUAUCAUUUAGAGGAAGGUGAAGUCGUAACA